GCUAAGGGUCCUUCGAGAAGAACGUAUAAGUGUGACGCGUCUCCUCGUGGCUGGUCUCAGUGAGAAUGGAACGCAUGUGCUGUUGCUGCUAAAUGAUGGCAGUAUCCCACUGAAGUUGACUAGUUCAGAGGUGAAUAUUGAAUCUCAACUGGAGACACAUCAGUCAACGCAAAUGGUGAAUUGGUAUUAAGUUUUAAAUGGGUGACCAGUGACGUGUUUAAGGUUUAGCUCUAAGCAAUGUAGCAGUCACUUUUGGCUGCACGUGAAGGACCGUUCCCUAAAGGUUCUCUGAAGGUAGCAGCUAAUACCUUUAGGGAACCUUCCCUAAAGGUUGUGUGUUUGCUGGGCGCUAACUUCACUGUGAAUAAUCGGGUUGGUGUGUCCGGGCCCUAAAGCCUUCCUCACACAGACUUUGGAAAGAUUUGGAAAAGAUUUUUGAAAGACUACAGUCUCAGACCCCCUCACAUCUAAAGACAAGUAGAGUUUUAAGUCAGACUAUGAUUUUGCAAUGA